GUAGUCAUAUGCUUGUAAAGAUUAAGGCCAUGCAUGUCUUAAGUAUAAGCAAUUAUACCGCGAAACUGCGAAUGGCUCAUUAAAUCAGUUAUCGUUUAUUUGAUAGUACCUUACUACAUGGAUAACCGUGGUAAUUCUAGAGCUAAUACAUGCUAAAAAUCCCGACUUCGGAAGGGAUGUAUUUAUUAGAUUAAAAACCAAUGCCCUUCGGGGCUCUCUGGUGAUUCAUAAUAACUUCUCGAAUCGCACGGCCUUGCGCCGGCGAUGGUUCAUUCAAAUUUCUGCCCUAUCAACUUUCGACGGCUGGGUCUUGGCCAGCCGUGGUGACAACGGGUAACGGAGGGUUAGGGCUCGACCCCGGAGAAGGAGCCUGAGAAACGGCUACUACAUCCAAGGAAGGCAGCAGGCGCGCAAAUUACCCAAUCCCGACACGGGGAGGUAGUGACAAUAAAUACUGAUACAGGGCUCUUUCGGGUCUUGUAAUUGGAAUGAGUACAAUUUAAAUCCCUUAACGAGGAACAAUUGGAGGGCAAGUCUGGUGCCAGCAGCC
rnacentral:rRNA from 1 species